rnacentral:rRNA from 1 species
AGAGCGAACGCUGGCGGCAGGCCUAAUACAUGCAAGUCGAACGGCUCUUCGGAGCAGUGGCGGACGGGUGAGUAACGCGUGGGAAUGUGCCCUUUGGUACGGAACAACUGAGGGAAACUUCAGCUAAUACCGUAUGUGCCCUUCAGGGGAAAGAUUUAUUGCCAUUGGAGCAGCCCGCGUUGGAUUAGCUAGUUGGUGGGUAAAGGCCCACCAAGGCGACGAUCCAUAGCUGGUCUGAGAGGAUGAUCAGCCACACUGGGACUGAGACACGGCCCAGACUCCGUACGGGAGGCAGCAGUAGGGAAUCUUGCGCAAUGGGGCGAAAG